UUUUAGGGAGACCUACCCACUCAAAGUUGAAAGUGAGUUAGAAAUAACGAACCGGUAAGCUAAGAGUUGGCCAUCCCAAAGGUCGUUCGGAUAUAUGUGUUGGCUUCCAAAUUAUUUGGUUCGGUUCAUGGGCUAUUAGCUCAGGUGGUUAGAGCGCACCCCUGAUAAGGGUGAGGUCCCUGGUUCGAGUCCAGGAUGGCCCACCUUUACAUUACAAGGGGGUUUAGCUCAGUUGGUAGAGCGCCUGCUUUGCAAGCAGGAUGUCAACGGUUCGAGUCCGUUAACCUCCACUGAGAUAGGUGAGAAUGAACCGAGAGAAGUUGGGGAAACUUCAGCAAAUAGUUUUGUAUUACCUACAAGAGUAUCUGCUGGAUUUAGAUUCAGCGAAGAACCUUGAAAACUGCAUAGAGAAGAAUGUCAGGUAGAAACGAUUGUUUCGAUGGCGAAGCGAGAUGUGAAAGAGUAAUCUAGAGCAUUGAGAGGAGCUAUUGAGAUAAUUUUUACAGACACCCAAUGUAAGUUUGCGAAAAACAGUUAGAACCUUGAAAACUGCAUAGUAACUUGUCAGGUAGUAAGACAACGACGACUAACGAAAGUUUAAUAGCCUGUCGUUAGAAACGAAUUGUCACUAUCACAGACACCAAUGUAAGCGAGACUCUAGAUAAUUAGCGAGAGCUAAGGACUAGAAGUUAAAAGU
rnacentral:tRNA from 1 species